rnacentral:lncRNA from 1 species
UUAGAUUGAAUGAUACCUCAUUGGCAGCAUUGGAUGAGUAGCAAUGUCAAAUGAGAGACAAUACCAAAAAUCGAGUAGCAUCCUUAGGGUUUCAACCCCAAAUAAAGAACGAUGUCGAGAUGUGCAUUAGAUCACAUCAAUGGAGGUGGCAUGGGAUGAUGCCUAAUUGUGUGUGAUGGCACAUGGCUACUAGAGAUGAUACAAGAUAGAAUCCAACUAGUGCUCUGUCAUC